rnacentral:rRNA from 1 species
GGACUACAGGGGUAUCUAAUCCUGUUUGCUCCCCACGCUUUCGUGCAUCAGCGUCAGAUGUGGCUUUGUCAGCUGCCUUCGCAAUCGGUGUUCUGUGUGAUAUCUAAGCAUUUCACCGCUACACCACACAUUCCGCCAACAGCAACCACUCUCAAGCUAUGCAGUAUCAGAGGCAGUUCCGCUGUUGAGCAACGGGAUUUCACCUCUAACUUACAUAACCGCCUACGCACCCUUUAAACCCAAUAAAUCCGGAUAACGCUUGGAUCCUCCGUAUUACCGCGGCUGCUGGCAC